AGUGAACGCUGGCGGUAGGCCUAACACAUGCAAGUCGAACGGCAGCACAGGAGAGCCUGCUCUCUAGGUGGCGAGUGGCGGACGGGUGAGGAAUACAUCGGAAUCUGCCCAGUCGUGGGGGAUAACGUAGGGAAACUUACGCUAAUACCGCAUACGACCUUCGGGUGAAAGAGGGGGAUCGCAAGACCUCUCGCGAUUGGAUGAGCCGAUGUCGGAUUAGCUAGUUAGCGGGGUAAUGGCCCACCAAGGCGACGAUCCGUAGCUGGUCUGAGAGGAUGAUCAGCCACACUGGAACUGAGACACGGUCCAGACUCCUACGGGAGGCAGCAGUGGGGAAUAUUGGACAAUGGGCGCAAGCCUGAUCCAGCCAUACCGCGUGGGUGAAGAAGGCCUUCGGGUUGUAAAGCCCUUUUGUUGGGAAAGAAAUCUUUCAGGCUAAUACCCUGGGAGGAUGACGGUACCCAAAGAAUAAGCACCGGCUAACUUCGU
rnacentral:rRNA from 1 species